UGCCUACGGGAGGCAGCAGUGGGGAAUAUUGGGCAAUGGGCGCAAGCCUGACCCAGCAACGCCGCGUGAAGGAAGAAGGCUUUCGGGUUGUAAACUUCUUUUAAGGGGGAAGAGCAGAGGACGGUACCCCUUGAAUAAGCCACGGCUAACUACGUGCCAGCAGCCGCGGUAAUACGUAGGUGGCAAGCGUUGUCCGGAUUUACUGGGUGUAAAGGGCGUGCAGCCGGGACUGCAAGUCAGAUGUGAAAUCCGCGGGCUUAACCCGCGAACUGCAUUUGAAACUGCGGAUCUU
rnacentral:rRNA from 1 species